UACGGAGGGUGCAAGCGUUAAUCGGAAUUACUGGGCGUAAAGCGCACGUAGGUGGUUUGUUGCGUCGGCUGUGAAAACCCGGGGCUCAACCCCGGGCCUGCAGCCGAUACGGGCAGACUAGAGUUCGGCAGGGGAGACUGGAAUUCCUGGUGUAGCGGUGAAAUGCGCAGAUAUCAGGAGGAACACCGGUGGCGAAGGCGGGUCUCUGGGCCGAUACUGACGCUGAGGAGCGAAAGCGUGGGGAGCGAACAGG
rnacentral:rRNA from 1 species